UAGGUAAGGAUGAAGCAAAAUUCAUAAUCCAACACUUGAUCUGAGUUCUUUAAGAGUGAUGGUAAACUAAUCAAUAUGCUUCUGAAUCUAC